CACGUAGGGUGCGAGCGUUGUCCGGAAUUAUUGGGCGUAAAGAGCUCGUAGGCGGUGUGUCGCGUCGGCCGUGAAAACCUGCAGCUUAACUGUGGGCGUGCGGUCGAUACGGGCAUCACUGGAGUUCGGCAGGGGAGACUGGAAUUCCUGGUGUAGCGGUGAAAUGCGCAGAUAUCAGGAGGUACACCGGUGGCGAAGGCGGGUCUCUGGGCCGAUACUGACGCUGAGGAGCGAAAGCGUGGGGAGCAAACAGG
rnacentral:rRNA from 1 species